UGGGCGUGUGUUUGGAUAUCCUGUUGCCUUCUGCAUCCACAAGUGAGGCAUGGGCUUGAGGAAUUGAAUUCUACAUUUUUCUUCAAAUUGCUUUUGUGUGUAUCAGAACAACAAAUGAGAAAAGUUCCUGCACAGACCACAGUUGUUCAAGUCACCUGUAAUUCAUCCAAUUACUAGUCAAUAUCUUUAAAUUGUUUCCACUUUACCAUACUAGUUCUACGCUUAUUUAAUACUCUUACUGCAUUUUUAUUGGCUUAUUGAUUGAAUGGUAAAGUGGGAUGGCACAAAUCUCUUAUUUUUAAUCAUAUGGGAGUUAAAGGCAACUUAAUCUAGUUUGAUGUUAAUGAUGUAAUCACAGUUUUACAUGGGGUGCUUCUCCUAUGUUUUUCACAAUUUUUUAAGGUUUCAGAGUAUCCCAGUUUAUACAUAUGCUUUCUGUUUCCGGGUAUUAGUGGUUGUUAUCUUGGUUUUUCACUAGAAAAGGGACUAGGCACUGCUAUAUGCAAUUUCCCACAAAAAUCACUUUUGUAGAUUUCCAUCCUUCUUAUUUAAUGAUGGAACUAGAAGGGACUUUUUUGGGGGCUUAAUUCAGUCUAAGAUUGAGAGUUUACCUUAAUGGCUCAUGAUAGUGAAUGCUAGUUCAUUUGGAAGUGAAAUUCCUCAGAAUAAAAUGAGCUUCACCAUAGAUCUAACUGAAGUAUGCAUUUUCAAUAUUG
rnacentral:lncRNA from 1 species